CUUAGAGUAAUGUCUAAGUAUCAUUAAGUGAAUACAUAGCUUAAUGAGGGGAACUCAGGGAACUGAAACAUCUAAGUACCUGAAGGAAGAGAAAGAAAUUCGAUUCCGUAAGUAGCGGCGAGCGAACGCGGAUUAGCCCAAACCAAUAAAGUUUUCUUUAUUGGGGUUGCGGACAUAACAUAACGAAGAGGUAUCGUAAUUGAAGAGGUUUGGAAAGACCCACCACAGAAGGUAAUAGUCCUGUAUGUUAAACGAGAAGACUUCAGAUAUGAUCCAGAGUACCACGGGACACGUGAAACCCUGUGGGAAGCAGGAGGGACCACCCUCCAAGGCUAAAUACUACCUAGUGACCGAUAGCGUAUAGUACCGUGAGGGAAAGGUGAAAAGAACCCCGGGAGGGGAGUGAAAUAGAACCUGAAACCCUGCACUUACAAGCUGUGGAAGCACAUUUCUUGUGUGACCGCGUACUUUUUGUAGAACGGGCCAACGAGUUACGUUAAGUAGCAAGGUUAAGCACUUAAGGUG
rnacentral:rRNA from 1 species